rnacentral:rRNA from 1 species
CUCCGUAGGGGAACCUGAACCUGCGGGAGGGGAUCAU